UUUAAGCGAGAUACAUUGAUUGAAGAACUCACACUUAUACAAUCACCAAGUGAAUUCAAGAAUAAGAUUACAUUUUAUUGUAAUACUUCAUUUGGGUUCGAUAUCAACAUUGGAAACAUGUUCUGUCAAAUAUUCCACUGCAGACUCCGAUUAGAAUGUAAUGAUUUAAAUGCCCAUAAAGUAAUUAGAUUUAUAUCCGAUAACCCAUCAUGUUUUGUGCUGCCUUUGAGGACACCCUUCAUUAUUUUAUUAUAUGUCCCAACUAUGAUGGUACAAGAAACGAUUGGUAUGUAACCAAGAAUUACCUAGAUCUAUAAAUCAUGAUAUUAUCAAAUCAGUACAUAACUUUAUUAUCACUUCAAAAAGAUUUAAUCAAUCUUAUGUUUUCAUCUGACCCUUUGCAGAAUAAAUAUGUUUAAAC